UACGGAGGGAGCUAGCGUUGUUCGGAAUUACUGGGCGUAAAGCGCACGUAGGCGGCUUUGUAAGUUAGAGGUGAAAGCCUGGAGCUCAACUCCAGAAUAGCCUUUAAGACUGCAUCGCUUGAAUCCAGGAGAGGUGAGUGGAAUUCCGAGUGUAGAGGUGAAAUUCGUAGAUAUCGGGAAGAACACCCGUGGCGAAGGCGGUUCUCUGGGACGGUACUGACGCUGAGACGCGAAAGCGUGGGGAGCGAACAGG
rnacentral:rRNA from 1 species